UGGCGGCAGUAGCGCGGUGGUCCCACCUGACCCCAUGCCGAACUCAGAAGUGAAACGCCGUAGCGCCGAUGGUAGUGUGGGGUCUCCCCAUGUGAGAGUAGGGAACUGCCAGGCA
rnacentral:rRNA from 4 species